rnacentral:lncRNA from 1 species
UAUUGAUUGCGCUUUCUCUACUGGUAAUAAGCAAUUCAUUUACACAGAAGUCGCAGCUUUCUGCUUAAUUACGGCCAUUUCCAUGGCUUCGAGAACCCAGAGCAACGGACGCAGCUUCGAAUUGGAGCUCCAACUCGAACAAGAAGUGGAAAAUAAGGUAAUUCAAUAUUUCUGAUUUCCUUUUUUUGGUCGGAACAUCGCUUCGAAGAUUAACAAAUUCAGACUUUUUUACUGUGACUUAGGUCAAAUUUCGCCUUUUCCGUUUCGAUUUCCAUAUUGAUUUAGAGUUAUGAUUUGGUUAAUUGUGGAACAAUAUGUGAAUUUUGAUUGAGGAUUUACAAUAUUCAAUACUAGGGGUUUUUCUAAUUUGUCAAUUUGGACGAUGAUAGUACACUAUUAUAUUUUUAAUCGAUUAAAUGUAAUUUUCGCCGUGUCCUCUUGAGAAUGUAUGCUGAGGGAUUAUAUUGAUUUGUUGCAUUUUUUUUUGUAUUCAUGUGAUGUGAAUUCAGAACUCAAAGCUUUGCGAAGUUGUUCUUUAUCUAUGUUGAGCUGGAUUUACUGUCUUUGCUGUUCUUCCUUCAGCCCCCAACCGUUGAGAAGGAUGCGGAAGAUUCAAUCGAAUCAUCCCCUAAUCGAGAAAUGACCACGUACUCGCAGCAUUACUUUGGCAGUAUCAGAGAUGGUUUCUCCAUCAGCAUCAUUGAGGUAUUACGAGGAAGUGGCAAAUGUGCUUUAUGUUUAGUAUUUUCUGACAUACAUUGGAGUUGUAUCCUAUUAGAAUAUGAAAGAAGAAUACGGUCUAUUUGUGUGGCNAAAAUAAGUGAAAUUAGAAAAGAAACAAGCCAAAGCAAACUAGCUAUCCGCAUGACAAUUGAAUCUAAAAUUAGGGUAACCAAGCUGAUCCAUCCUAAUUAGAGAAAGAAACUGCCUAGGAACAGAAGAAUAAUCAAAAGUAAUCAACGUCUAAACUUGAUGCUCUCUCCUUGCCAUAAAAUCAACAAGCCGAUUUCCUUCUUAGGGGAUGUGAGAGAAACAUACUCGCUAAAGCUUAGUAAGCAGACGAAUCCAAGCAACAGUAUGACGAAUACUAGCAUGACCGCGACGCCCAACAGACAUGAGCAACGCAAUCGCCACCACAUCCAUCUCAACCCAAAUAUAAAAAGAAAAUGUGGUAGCCAAUCUAAUACCCUCGAGCAGGGCAUCUAACUCGGUAUCAAAACUGGAAGUAGCAUCACAAGGGAUACAGAAGACAAUAAUGAGGGAUGCAGUAUGAUCACGAACCACUGCUCCACUACUCCAGUAAUAAUGGAAAAAGCUUUAAACUAAAGGGGGUGUAUUAGUUCAAGAUUUAUGUAGAUUUUAGAAGUCCGUGGAUUUUAAAAGUUUAUAGAAUUCUCACGGAUUCUUCAUGAUUUUGAAUGAAUUCUUGGUCGGAUUUUUAAUGAAUUAGCAAGAAUUUUGACAUGAUAUUUUCGGACUUGAAAUCCACAAACCCAGCGAGCGCGGAAAUUGAACGAGCACUAGACCUACUUCCAGCGGCCGCUAGGCUCCCAUGAGCACUGGAUACCCAGCGACCGCUAGCGCUGGAGACCCAGCAACCGCUAGGGUCCAGCGGCCAUCGUUGUAGCUCCUCCAUCAGCGGCCGCUAGGUGCCAGCCGGCUGGCUUCUUCAGCCGUGUCCGCCGGCACCCAGCGAGCGAUGGAAACUCUCAAGAUUUGAAUUCUCGUGGCCUGAGCUCAGAUUUGUUCUUGUGUAUUUUUUGAAUGAAAUCCAUGAAAAUCAGUCCAAUGUUAAAAUCCGUAGAUUUUUAAAUACACCCAGAUUUUCAUAGACUUUUAAAAGUCUUGAAGGAAUACACCCAUAUUUUUAUAGACUUUUAAAAGUCUUGAAGGAAUACACUCAGAUUUUCAUAGACUUUUAAAAGUGUAGAACGAAUACACCCAGAUUUUAAAAAUCUGCAGAAAUCUAUUAAAGUCUUAAACUAAUACACCCCCCUAAGUAGUUUAAUGAGUGCGAUGAGAUAUAAGAAAUUUAUUAGUUUAUUGAAUAUUAUUUUAAUUUAUUAAAUAUUAUUAUUGUUUUAUAAUUAAAUAGAUCAAAUUAAUUGAGAAUUUAAAUAUACUAAUAGAUAUUAUAUUUAUAUUUUCUAUUUCCUUUAGGAACUAUUUAUAUUUUCAAUUUUAUCAAAUAAUAAUAUUGAUUGCGCUUUGUCUACUAGUAAUAAGCAAUUCAUUUACACAGAAGUCGCAGCUUUGAGCUUUCUGCUUAAUUACGGCCAUUUCCAUGGCUUCGAGAACCCAGAGCAACGGACGCAGCUUCGAAUUGGAGCUCCAACUCGAACAAGAAGUGGAAAAUAAGGUAAUUCAAUAUUUCUGAUUUCCUUUUUUUGGUCGGGACAUCGCUUCGAAGAUUAACAAAUUCGGACUUUUUUACUGUGACUUAGGUCAAAUUUCGCCUUUUCCGUUUCGAUUGCCAUAUUGAUUAGAGUUAUGAUUUGGUUAAUUGUGGAACAAUAUGUGAAUUUUGAUUGAGGAUUAACAAUAUUCAAUACUAGGGGUUUUUCUAAUUUGUCAAUUUGGAUGAUGAUAGUACACUAUUAUAUUUUUAAUCAAUUAAAUGUAAUUUUCUCCAUGUCCUCUUGAGAAUAUAUGCUGAGGGAUUAUAUUGAUUUGUUGCAUUUUUUUUUUUUGUAUUCAUGUGAUGUGAAUUCAGAACUCAAAGCUUCGCGAAGUUGUUCUUUAUCUAUGUUGAGCUGGAUUUACUGUCUUUGCUGUUCUUCCUUCAGCCCCCAACCGUUGAGAAGGAUGCGGAAGAUUCAAUCGAAUCAUCCCCUAAUCGAGAAAUGACCACGUACUCGCAGCAUUACUUUGGCAGUAUCAGAGAUGGUUUCUCCAUCAGCAUCAUUGAGGUAUUACGAGGAAGUGGCAAAUGUGCUUUAUGUUUAGUAUUUUCUGAUAUACAUU